rnacentral:ncRNA from 1 species
GCGCGGGAGAGUGUGGGGCAACCCACCGCCGAAGGAGCAACCGCCCCGGAAUCUCUCAGGCACCAGGGACCGCGCGG